rnacentral:rRNA from 1 species
GACGAACGCUGGCGGCGCGCCUAACACAUGCAAGUCGAACGAGAGAUGAAGGAGCUUGCUCUUCAGAUCGAGUGGCGAACGGGUGAGUAACGCGUGAGGAACCUGCCUCAAAGAGGGGGACAACAGUUGGAAACGACUGCUAAUACCGCAUAAGCCCACGGCUCGGCAUCGAGCAGAGGGAAAAGGAGCAAUCCGCUUUGAGAUGGCCUCGCGUCCGAUUAGCUAGUUGGUGAGGUAACGGCCCACCAAGGCGACGAUCCGGUAGCCGGACUGAGAGGUUGAACGGCCACAUUGGGACUGAGACACGGCCCAGACUCCUACGGGAGGCAGCAGUGGGGAAUAUUGCACAAUGGGGGAAACCCUGAUGCAGCGACGUCGCGUGGAGGAAGAAGGUCUUCGGAUUG